rnacentral:snRNA from 1 species
AGCUUUGCGCAGUGGCAAUAUCAUAGCCAAUGAGGUUUAUCUGAGGCACAAUUAUUGCUAAUUAAAAUCUGUUAGUGUACAAAAUGAUAUAGCUAAAUAGCAAGUCAGAAGAGGCUGAGCAUGUACAUUAACUCCUUCUCCCCUGGGUCCCUUGCUGAUCUACUUAUUCUGGAUAAUUAAAUCUAAC